rnacentral:lncRNA from 1 species
AUUUUCUUUCUCUCUCAACUUUUCACAGCUUUCACCAUCUAUAGCUGUCCUUGUUUACUGCUUCACAGGAAAAGGAAAAGACAAAAAAAAAAAAAAAAAAAAGUAACAGUCCAUCAAUUGGGAAACCUGCAACUCGCCAGCAGCAAGCUUUUGUCCCUUCCAACGUUCCCCACUUGGAAUGACAGGUCCUGUCCUACUCUACAGAGCACCAACCGCCAGCGUCUGCAUACGGACUACUGGAGUAGCCUUUCAUUUGUUCCUUCUCCUUUCAAUUUCAAGUGCAGUCAUGUACUGCAAAAUGAUGUUUUGGUCAAGGACAGACCACAUAUAGAAGAGUAACCUCGGCAGUUGACUUCUGUCUGGCCAAGGGCAGGUUCAGCAAUGCUAUCCAAGAACCAAGGCCUGGAAUCAAGGACCCCAGGAUUUCUCUGGUGCUUUACCCUACUACAGCCAACAUACUGUCCCAGUUAAUUUUGGAUCUAAU